AAGAGCCGUAUGCGGGAAAACUGCACGUACGGUUCUGAAUAGGGGCUUGUGUCGUGAGGCACUUGUCUACUAAAC
rnacentral:ncRNA from 1 species